rnacentral:lncRNA from 1 species
GUUUUAUUGAGAGAGACACAAUACACCCCAGGACUUUGAUACCCGGCGAGGGAAGAGCGCAGACACCCCCCACGGCGCCCACGCCCUUGGCUGCCCGCACUCUCAGCCUCCGGUCCCCUUCUCUCGGCAGAGGAAGCCGGCACGACACCUCUGACCCCUGUCAAGCGUGACUCGAAACCUCCAGGCGGGAAGCCCAGUUUGAGGCCUCAGCGGGCCGCGGCCCCACCGCCCUGGAAAGGUCCCCUUGUCUCCCAGGUGCACCCUGCACCCCGUCCCACUUCCUGCCCAGACCUAGCUUCAAACAAGCCAGCCCAAUCCGGGAACGGCCGGCACCGCUGUGGGGUUAGGUUCACACAGGGCCCUGUACUUCAUAGAGUUGUCAGGAACAAGGUAUAUAACAAACAACACCCAUGGUGUCAGGAUACUGCCACCUGCAUUAUCCAUCUUGAAAGAAGAGCUAACACCUGGAAGAAACAAGAAAGAAAAAAUAAUAAGGCUGACAUCUGAUCUACGGUUAUUUGUAAGUCUUGCACAGAGGAUGCUUUUUAAUUCAAGGCUGAGAAUAAAACAUACCCAUC